UACGUAGGGUGCGAGCGUUGUCCGGAUUUAUUGGGCGUAAAGGGCUCGUAGGCGGCGUGUCGCGUCGGGAGUGAAAGCCCGGGGCUUAACCCCGGGUUGGCUUCCGGUACGGGCAUGCUGGAGUGUGGCAGGGGAGACUGGAAGUUCCUGGUGUAGCGGUGGAAUGCGCAGAUAUCAGGAGGAACACCGGUGGCGAAGGCGGGUCUCUGGGCCAUUACUGACGCUGAGGAGCGAAAGCGUGGGGAGCGAACAGG
rnacentral:rRNA from 1 species